UAUUUUUAUGGCGUCAAAAAUUGAAAAAAUAUUUGUUCAGAAUUUACAUAUUCAAUCAGAAAGUUUGCCAACUAACUGAGCGCCGCCCAUCGAAUUUUGGAAAGGCAGCAAAAUAAAUUAAAACACAAAGGCACAAAUUUAAUGGAAACAAUAUUAGUUGCAAAAUAAUUAUACAUUCGUUCGUACUCAUAUUUCCAUAAUUGAAGUAUUAUAAAAGCGAGCUCGAAAUUAUGAAAGUAUUUAUUCAAUUGACUCUCUGACAUUUUAAGAGCAUUAUUCAGCAUUUUUAAAUUUUCAUAUAAUCCUCUCAUGGCAACUGACCUCAAUGAAGUGUUAGAGCUGUGCAUAACAGCUCCGCAAAAAAAAAACAGAAAGGGAGGAACGGAAAUUAUUGCGGCUCAAUAAAACAUGUAAGCAAACACACAGAUAAAGUCGUACAGCCAAACUAAAUUCAAAAAUAUGCAAAUGCCUGGCAAACUUUGAUUGCACUUGACCCGAAAAAAAAUAUUGCCUUAGAUUUGCUAGCAAAGUUCUCUGAGGAAGCAAUUUAAUUCACUGGAAUAUAUGUACAAAGAAAUAUCGAGUUAACAGAUGGAUUCGUUUUUUA